rnacentral:lncRNA from 1 species
CCUAUAAACAUGUGGGAUAGUAAAUAUAUAUAUUCAGAGUUGCCCUUUUGAUUUGUUACCGAUAAAGCACUGUUUAUUUUUUAACAAAAAAUAAGUAAUAUAAUAUUUUUACCGUCAUAAAUAUGUGCCUUCAAAAAUUCCAACCGUUAGAAUUAUGUAGAAACGUACUUUUAAGAAUCUCCAACAUUCAUCUUCUUCUUUUUUACCAUCACAAAUAAUAUAAUAGGGUUAAAAAGGUCAAUUUAGCUAAUUCACUAAUCAGGAUUUAGUAUUUUAUCUAUGAUUAACUAUAUUUUUCUAACGGAUCCUAAUAAUAGGAGUAUAUUUGAAAGCAUUAGAACUUUUGUAGAGAUAAAUAUAAAAAAUUGAACUUCGUAGUGAUAUAUCUGUUAUUCAAUAUGUUUACAAAGAACAGUAUGCAAUUAACCGAUUAUAAAAAUAGCAUUGAACUCAU